UUUUCCUGUUAUUUCAAAAAUUUCUUUCGGUGGCGCUCAUACCCAAUGCAGUAUAGAUUGUGGUUCCUCUGAUUCACUACGAAAUCACGAUCAAAAGCCGCUUACUAUGGCUGAAAAGCAAAGAAGAUAUAAAGAAAAAUUGAAAAGAGAUCCUAAGAAAUAUGAAGAGUUCAAAAAAAGGAAAAGAGAUAAUUAUCAUAAGAAUAAACGAUUAGUGAAAGACCUGACACCGAGAGAAAGGUCCAAUGCUAGGAUUAUCUGGAGACUUAGAAAACAAAAUUCUAGAAAAUAAUGGUGGGUGACUACGGAAGACCCAAAUUAUACCAUGUCAUCUGCAAGUUUUCGCGAAACAUUCGAGUCUCUUUUGACUCAGUAUGAACAACAACAUAGAGGGUCUCAAAGGAAACCGUGGACAAAAGAAAGGAUUUUGAUGGUUAUGAAUAAUAUCCGCCAAGCUAGAGCGAUGACCAGAGGCAAGACGAAUAUGGAUUAUUACUGGUUAUCAAAGUAUGAUAUUAUGGUAGUAGCAGAUGAAGAAGUUUUAAUAUUCAAAAGAAAAUCUUCACAAGACCCAACGGUGCGAAUUUUACCUAAAAACGAAUACUUUGACGUCCUAGACAAAGUCCAUAGAUCCUGCAAGCAUGGUGGGCGGGACAAAAUGUCAUUCCUUAUAAAACCUAAAUUUUAUAUACCAAAAAAGGCUAUAGAAAUAUUUCUAAGUAACUGUCCUACGUGUGAAGUUAAAAGGAACAGCAAAAAUAAGAAUAGUACCAAACCCGAUUGAGUAUUUUUAUCUCGAAUAUAUAAUAAUAAUGCAUGCAGUGAAUAAAAAUAUUCAUAACUUAGACUCACAACGAAAGUGAAGAUCGCAACAAACGUUGAUUACGAACCUAUAAGUGAUAAGACGCCAAUAAUGUAAUCACAAUUUCGCUGUCAAAGAGAAUCCUAAAGAGGCACGCACUAAAUGAGUAAUUUGGUUUCGUCCGAAGAUUUAACUGAUAUAUCAGUGGUAAUAAUAAGAGAAGAAAACGAGCCGAUGUGCCUGCCUUCAAAAAACAAAUUAUGUAUAAGUAAUUAUUUCGGGUGUUAUAUAAAAGCUAUAGCAUUUUAAGUUGCUUAAUUGCUAAUUGUAAUACAUUCUAUGGUAAAUAUUCGGGCUGGAUUCCAAUUAAAUAAUAGUUAUAUUAAUUAGUUAAAAAGCCUUUUUUCUAACCUUUCUGAUACUUUUACUUGCUCUUCCGUCUUUUAUAUAAGGUUUAGUAAAAUCAAUAAAUUACCUUUUGGGCACAUAUAACAAAUUUACUUUCAGGCAGAAAUAUUAAUGCCUUUCAUGAAAAAAAACACAUGUCAUAUUAUGCAGCAGAUAUGGGUGACUGGGUGAUAUGCGAGGCAAAAUGUCUCGUUUAGAGUAUUAUAUAGACAAUAUUAUUUAAGAGUAAAAGAACUUUAUGACCAAGAGACUUCCUGCGAGGGCCAGAUUUUUCCAUUUUAGAAAAGCUGAAAGUUUACCUAUGACCUUUAGGGUGAAGCCAAACGAGCGUAA